UACAGAGGUCUCAAGCGUUGUUCGGAUUCAUUGGGCGUAAAGGGUGCGUAGGUGGUCCGUUAAGUUCGUUGUGAAAUCCCUGGGCUCAACCCAGGAAAUGCUUCGAAUACUGGCGGACUUGAGGCUAGUAGAGGUCACUGGAACUGACGGUGGAGCGGUGAAAUGCGUAGAUAUCGUCAGGAACGCCGAUGGUGAAGACAGGUGACUGGGCUAGUUCUGACACUGAGGCACGAAAGCGUGGGGAGCGAACGGG
rnacentral:rRNA from 1 species